rnacentral:tRNA from 2 species
CUGCUCUUAGCUCAGCAGGAUAGAGCAACGGCUUCCUAAGCCGUGGGUCACAGGUUCGAAUCCUGUAGAGCAGG